GUGCACCAGGCGCGAAUCCUUCGCAAUGCGCGAAAGCGCGACGAGGGGACUCCGAGUGCCUAUGCUCAGCAUAGGCUGUUCACCGGUGUAAAAGCCGGUGGAGGAAGGGGUGGACAAGACUGGUGCCAGCCGCCGCGGUAAUACCAGCGCCCCAAGUGGUGAUCGAUAUUAUUGGGUCUAAAACGUCCGUAGCCGGCCCGGUAAAUCUCCGGGUAAAUCGUCCAGCUUAACUGGUCGAAUUCUGGGGAGACUGCCGGGCUUGGGGACCGGGAGAGGUCGGAGGUACUCCAGGGGUAGGGGUGAAAUCCCGUAAUCCCUGGGGGACCACCGGUGGCGAAGGCGUCCGACUAGAACGGGUCCGACGGUAAGGGACGAAGGCUAGGGGAGCAAACGGGGAUUAGAUACCCGGGUAGU
rnacentral:rRNA from 1 species